CUUUCUUGUUCAAUAGAGAGGCAGUUCAAGACUUCACAGCGGAACCAGUGCACAGUGCUGCAUUCAUGGACUUCAGUAGUUUGCAAUUGCAUCUGUGGAGAACCAGCAGUUCAAGAAGGUGGAUCCUUAGUGCAACAAGCUGGAGCUGCAAUGUGGACCUCCCAGUGCAUUCUCUGAGGUCACAUGGAAAACUUUCCCAAGAGUUAAAAUUCAUCAAAAGCUAUCCUGGAAAAAGUUUCUGGAAAAAAUAUUGAAGGUAUGAGCACCAGUUCACCUGCUUCUCCUCACCACAGUAACAGCUACUGCUUGAAACUCCUGCUUACCCCUCUCCCACAAGCCUUGGCAAACUGGGCUGCAGCAUUCAUUCAGCAGGCACCAGCAUGCCUCAGACCUGCCCCUGAGGAAAGUCUUCAUGCAGGAAGCUCUUGAAGAACAAUCCCUUGAUCGGCAAAAGAACGUAUAGGGACCUCCCUUGCCUGAGAGGCACAGAGCUGGGUAAGUGGAUAUUUUUGCAAAUUUUUUAAAGAACAUCCUCAGCUUCAAUCUGACAACACAAAACUGAUAUGUUCCUCUUCUCUCCUAGGAGUGGAAAUGUGAGGUCCAACCAGAAGCCACCCAGUGGAAACAGCCCCCUGAGCCGUUCCUCUUGGCACUUUCCGUCGGUGGUGUCGUGUGCCUUAUCUCCGAGUCUCAGCACGCCGGCUCCCUCCUGGACCUCAGUCCGUUUGUCUGCCGAUAAAUGCUUUCCCAUCUGGUUUUGGCUCCACACUGGAUUUCUCCCGGACCUUGAAAGCAGUGAAUAG
rnacentral:lncRNA from 1 species